rnacentral:rRNA from 1 species
GGAAUACAGCGUCAUAGUGGUGAGAACCCCGUAACUGAUGCGGAUGCCCGGUGCUUUGUGAUAUACUUUCGAAGAGUCGAGUUGUUUGGGAAUGCAGCUCAAAUUGGGUGGUAAAUUCCAUCUAAAGCUAAAUAUUGGAGCAAGACCGAUAGCGAACAAGUACCGUGAGGGAAAGAUGAAAAGCACUUUGGAAAGAGAGUUAACAGUACGUGAAAUUGUUGGAAGGGAAACGCUUGAAGUCAGACUUGCUAUUCGGAGUUCAGCCGCAAGGUGUAUUCUUCGAUUCGCAGGCCAGCAUCAGUUUUCGGGGGUGGAAAAUCGCGGUUUGAAGGUAGCAACUUCGGUUGUGUUAUAGCUUUCCGCUGGAUUCAUCCUUGGGGACUGAGGAACGCAGUACGCUUUUUGCAAGGCUCUCGAGCUUUUCGUACUUAGGAUGCUGGUGGAAUGGCUUUAAACGACCCGUCUUGAAACACGGACCA